UGAGAAAAGCAGAAGUGAGAACUUCUCGCCUUGCGACUACGGUUGUCUGGCCCACAUGUUAAAAUCCUUUCUAGGAAAUUAUGUGUACGGGCUUGAGAAAUCAAGUUCGUUUUGUUUUUCUCUA
rfam:Streptococcus iniae ITSA1 contig008, whole genome shotgun sequence.